rnacentral:rRNA from 2 species
CACGUAGGCGGGAAUUUAAGUCAGAUGUGAAAGACCGGGGCUCAACUCCGGGGUGGCAUUUGAAACUGAAUUUCUUGAGGGCAGGAGAGGAAAGCAGAAUUCCUGGUGUAGCGGUGAAAUGCGUAGAAAUCAGGAGGAAUACCAGUGGCGAAGGCGGCUUUCUGGACUGUCCCUGACGCUGAGGUGCGAAAGCGUGGGUAGCAAACA